rnacentral:tRNA from 1 species
GGCGCCUUGGCAGAGUGGCUAUGCAGCGGAUUGCAAAUCCGUGGACCUCGGUUCGAUUCCGGGAAGGCGCCUCCA